rnacentral:rRNA from 1 species
AUUGCACGCUGGCGGCCGGCUUAACACAUGCAAGUCGAGCGCGCGGCGGACGGGUGAGUAAUGUCUGGGAAACUGCCUGAUUGAGGGGGAUAACUACUGGAAACGGUAGCUAAUACCGCAUACAAUCAGAUGGUCCCAGAUGGGAUUAGCUCGUAGGUGGGGUAAUGGCUCACCUAGGCUACGAUCCCUAGCUGGUCUGAGAGGAUGACCAGCCACAUUGGAACUGAGGCACGGUCCAGAAUCCGACGGGAGGCAGCAGUGGGGAAUAUUGCACAAUGGGCGCAAGUCUGAUGCAGCCAUGCCGCGUGUAUGAAGAAGGCCUUCGGGUUGUAAAGUACUUUCAGCGGGGAGGCGUUACCCGCAGAAGAAGCACCGGCUAACUCCGUGCCAGCAGCCGCGGUAAUAC